UACGUAGGGUGCAAGCGUUGUCCGGAAUUAUUGGGCGUAAAGAGCUCGUAGGCGGUUCGUCGCGUCGGCUGUGAAAACCCGGAGCUCAACUCCGGGCCUGCAGUCGAUACGGGCGGACUGGAGUUCGGCAGGGGAGACUGGAAUUCCUGGUGUAGCGGUGAAAUGCGCAGAUAUCAGGAGGAACACCGGUGGCGAAGGCGGGUCUCUGGGCCGAUACUGACGCUGAGGAGCGAAAGCGUGGGGAGCGAACAGGG
rnacentral:rRNA from 1 species